rnacentral:rRNA from 1 species
UGCCAGCCGCCGCGGUAAUACAGAGGGUGCAAACGUUGUUCGGAAUUACUGGGCGUAAAGAGCAUGUAGGCGGUUUUUUAAGUCAGUUGUGAAAGCCCGGGGCUCAACCCCGGAAGUGCAUUGGAAACUGGCGAACUUGAGUACGGGAGAGGAAAGUGGAAUUCCGAGUGUAGGGGUGAAAUCCGUAGAUAUUCGGAGGAACACCAGUGGCGAAGGCGGCUUUCUGGACCGAUACUGACGCUGAGACGCGAAAGCGUGGGGAGCAAACAGGAUUAGAUA